rnacentral:sRNA from 1 species
AAGUCUCCAUGUACAUCAAGUACUUUGGAGACGCCAAAGGUGUAACUUUAAAGGGCAAAGACCUCAGGACAAAGCAACUUGAAGAAGCCAGGAACUAAAGUUUUGGUUCAAAACUUGAAGUGGCUCCCCGCCCCCUGCCCCGAGAUUGCAUGACAGAAAAACAACAACAGAAUCAGUAUGACUACUAAGAAUACAUUUUAAAAAAUUAACAUGACAUCUUGAAUCUUAUAAGAGUCAAGCCCUUCAGGAAAUAAACCAUGAGUUUUUUCUCAGAUUAUCUUCGUCUCACCUAGAAUCCCAUUUGGUCUGUGUCCUCUUCCCUACUCGGUUUAUCGUGG